UGGGGAAUAUUGGACAAUGGGCGCAAGCCUGAUCCAGCCAUGCCGCGUGAGUGACGAAGGCCUUAGGGUUGUAAAGCUCUUUUGGCGGGGACGAUAAUGACGGUACCCGCAGAAUAAGCUCCGGCUAACUUCGUGCCAGCAGCCGCGGUAAUACGAAGGGAGCUAGCGUUGUUCGGAAUCACUGGGCGUAAAGCGCACGUAGGCGGAUUAUUAAGUCAGGGGUGAAAUCCCGGGGCUCAACCUCGGAACUGCCUCUGAUACUGAUAGUCUCGAGUCCGGAAGAGGUGGGUGGAAUUCCUAGUGUAGAGGUGAAAUUCGUAGAUAUUAGGAAGAACACCGGUGGCGAAGGCGGCCCACUGGUCCGGUACUGACGCUGAGGUGCGAAAGCGUGGGGAGCAAACAGGAUUAGAUACCCAUGUAGUCCCUGAGCGGGCUGGCAAGGCGCAU
rnacentral:rRNA from 1 species